rnacentral:rRNA from 1 species
UACGUAGGGUGCAAGCGUGUCCGGAAUUAUUGGGCGUAAAGAGCUCGUAGGCGGUUUGUUGCGUCGGCUGUGAAAUCCCGAGGCUCAACCUCGGGUCUGCAGUCGAUACGAGCAAACUAGAGUGUUGCAGGGGAGACUGGGAAUUCCUGGUGUAGCGGUGAAAUGCGCAGAUAUCAGGGAGGGAACACCCGGUGGGCGAAAGGCGGGGUCUCUGGG